rnacentral:rRNA from 1 species
UACGGAGGGUGCGAGCGUUGUCCGGAAUCACUGGGCGUAAAGGGCGCGUAGGCGGCCUGCUAAGUAGAGGGUGAAAUCCUGCGGCUCAACCGCAGGGCUGCCUUCUAAACUGUCAGGCUGGAGCACGGUAGAGGCAGGUGGAAUUCCCGGUGUAGCGGUGGAAUGCGUAGAGAUCGGGAAGAACACCAGUGGCGAAGGCGGUCUGCUGGGCCGUUGCUGACGCUGAGGCGCGACAGCGUGGGGAGCAAACAGG